UGGCCCUCCCGGGGUCCGAGUUGUAAUUUGCAGAGGGUGCUUUGGCAUCGGCUGCGGUCCAAGUCCCUUGGAACAGGGCGUCGGAGAGGGUGAGAAUCCCGUAUCUGGCCGCCAGCCUUCGCCGUGUAAAGCCCCUUCGACGAGUCGAGUUGUUUGGGAAUGCAGCUCCAAGUGGGAGGUAAAUUUCUUCUAAAGCUAAAUACCGGCCAGAGACCGAUAGCGCACAAGUAGUGUGAACGAAAGAUGAAAAGCACUUUGGAAAGAGAGUCAAAAAGCACGUGAAAUUGUUGAAAGGGAAGCGCUUGCAGCCAGACGUGCCCGCGGUCGCUCAGCCAGGCCCUCCGCCUGGUGCACUCCUCCGCGGGCAGGCCAGCAUCGGUUCCGGUGGUCGGACAAAGGCCUGCUAAACGUACCUCCCCCGGGAGGACUUAUAGGGUAGGUGGCAUACGACCAGCUGGGAUCGAGGUCCGCGCUUCGGCGAGGAUGCUGGCGUAAUGGUGGCAAGCGGCCCGUCUUGAAACACGGACCAAGGAGUCUAACAUCUAUACGAGUGUUUGGGUGGCAAGCCCAGGCGCGCAAUGAAAGUGAACGGAAGUGGGAUCCCUUCGCCGGGUGCACCAUCGACCGAUCCUGAAGUCUUCGGAUGGAUUUGAGUAAGAGCAUAGCUGUUGGGACCCGAAAGAUGGUGAACUAAGCUUGAAUAGGGUGAAGCCAGAGGAAACUCUGGUGGAGGCUCGCAGCGGUUCUGACGUGCAAAUCGAUCGUCAAAUUUGGGCUUAGGGGCGAAAGA
rnacentral:rRNA from 1 species